rnacentral:rRNA from 1 species
UGGGGAAUAUUGGACAAUGGGCGCAAGCCUGAUCCAGCCAUGCCGCGUGAGUGAUGAAGGCCUUAGGGUUGUAAAGCUCUUUCGCCAGGGACGAUAAUGACGGUACCUGGAUAAGAAGCCCCGGCUAACUUCGUGCCAGCAGCCGCGGUAAUACGAAGGGGGCUAGCGUUGUUCGGAAUCACUGGGCGUAAAGCGCAUGCAGGCGGACUGAUAAGUCAGGGGUGAAAGCCCGAGGCUCAACCUCGGAACUGCCUUUGAUACGGUCAGUCUUGAGUCCGGGAGAGGUGAGUGGAACUGCGAGUGUAGAGGUGAAAUUCGUAGAUAUUCGCAAGAACACCAGUGGCGAAGGCGGCUCACUGGCCCGGUACUGACGCUGAGAUGCGAAAGCGUGGGGAGCAAACA